GUUGAGCUAACCGAUACUAAUGAACCGUGAGGCUUAACCUUACAACGCCGAAG
rnacentral:rRNA from 4 species